rnacentral:tRNA from 1 species
CAUUAGAUGGCCGAUAAUAAGCAAUGGAAUUUUAAAUCAUAUUAUAGUACUUUUGUACUUCUAAUG